rnacentral:lncRNA from 1 species
GGGAAAUUUGGACACAGACAGGCAGAGAGGAAAGACAGCGUGAAGACACAGGGAGAUGACAGCCGGCUACAGCCAAGGAAAGACGCCUGGAACAGCUCCUUCCCUCACAGCCCUCAGAAGGAAGCAGCACUGCCAUCAUCUUGCUUUCAGACUACUAGCCUCCAGAACUGUGAGACAACCAAUUUUCUGUUGUAAUGCUCAACACCAUGAAGAGAAAAAUAACAACCCUAGGACAUGGUUCCUUUGCUGAAAACCCUUCCAAGACCACAGAUGAAGAGGAGACCUCCUGUCCUUGGCUAGCUCUUGCUAGAGCCACGUACUGCUCCCUCCUCACUUUUAACUUCUUAAUUUUCUCAGGAAGGUUCCAGGACCCUCGUGGGAAGGAGCUGGGAGUUGUUACUCCGAAGACGUCCCUUUGAAGCACUGAGAGAAUGGGGAAAUGUGGUCAAGAAACAGUGCAUCCAAGAGAACAGGUUAGGCCUUCUUUGCCUGCUCUCAGUGGAGAUGGAGAACAACAGAUGGUGGCAAACGCAGAAAUCUGGUAAUGGAUGUAGGAUCAGUUUGUGCCUCGUCUCGCCGCGAUCAACACAGCUACUAAAUCCCCAUUUUGCCCUCUGCGAGUGUGUGCGACAAGGAUCCUUAGAGUCCAUGUGACAGCACCUACCCUGGAAAUCAUUCAAUACCAUCAGUGGCGCCACC